CGUGCCCGCACUCGAGCCGGCGCCGGCGGGCGUAUUUCCCCUCGUGAUGUAGGUCGCCGCGACCCGUUGCUGGGGACGUCGAAGGCCCGGGCGGACUGGUACCCCGACGUUGUGCGCCUCGUUGUGCCUUCGAAGGGGGAAACCUCCGGUGUCCUGGCUGCCCUGCGACGGUCGUGUAGCAGAGGGCGGCGCAAGCUUCCCUCUCGCGGCGUGCAAAAGGUCGGUGACCCACCCGACCCGUCUUGAAACACGGACCAAGGAGUCUAACAUGUGUGCGAGUCAUUGGGCGCACUAAACCCAAAGGCGCAAUGAAAGUGAAAGGCGCGUGUCUCACGUGCUGGGGCCGAUCCCCGACCGGGCGAUGCCGCCGUGUCGUGCCAUACCAAAGCGGGGCCCUUAGGCGUCGAGCGGAGUGAGUCCCUUUCCUCCGUUCGCCGUCGGUCCCGUGGGCGGCGCGGUGCGCUCGCUGGUCCGAGCUUGCUCGCCUGUACGCAGGGGGGCGCAGGCCCGGGACUUGUCAUUCGACGCUGUCGCGCGAAUCUGUUGUUGACCUCAUCGGCUUUGCUUGGGCUCUCGGCUGGCGUGCCGCGUGUCUGGGCGGGCUUUGGGCGGGGGCCUCUCUCGGGGGGUUUCUUCUCGGGCUCGUCCGGCGCGGUUGCGCCUUCCGAUCCUGCUCUGUCCGGAGUGGCCUAGCGCGCGUGCUGUCGGCAAGUACCAUGAGCAGACAUGUUGGGACCCGAAAGAUGGUGAACUAUGCCUGGCCAGGAUGAAGCCAGAGGAAACUCUGGUGGAGGUCCGUAGCAAUUCUGACGUGCA
rnacentral:rRNA from 1 species